rnacentral:rRNA from 1 species
GACGCUGGCGGCGUGCCUAAUACAUGCAAGUCGAACGGUCUUUUCUAUGGAAGCUUGCUUCCACUGAGAAGAUAGUGGCGAACGGGUGAGUAACACGUGGGUAACCUGCCCAUAAGAGGGGGAUAACAUCCGGAAACGGGUGCUAAUACCGCAUAGUUUUCUUGAUCGCAUGAUCGGGAAAGGAAAGACGGCCUUUGUGCUGUCGCUUAUGGAUGGACCCGCGGCGUAUUAGUUAGUUGGUGAGGUAACGGCUCACCAAGACGAUGAUACGUAGCCGACCUGAGAGGGUGAUCGGCCACAUUGGGACUGAGACACGGCCCAAACUCCUACGGGAGGCAGCAGUAGGGAAUCUUCCGCAAUGGACGAAAGUCUGACGGAGCAACGCCGCGUGAGUGAAGAAGGUUUUUCCGGAUCGUAAAACUCUGUUGUCAGAGAAGAACAAGUUGGAGAGUAACUGCUCCAGCCUUGACGGUAUCUGACCAGAAAGCCACGGCUAACUACGUGCCAGCAGCUGC